GUCCACGCCGUAAACGAUGAGUGCUAGAUGUCAGGAGCUUUGACCCUCUUGGUGUCGCAGCUAACGCGAUAAGCACUCCGCCUGGGGAGUACGGCCGCAAGGCUAAAAACUCAAAGGAAUUGACGGGGGCCCCGCACAAGCGGUGGAGCAUGUGGUUUAAUUCGACGCAACGCGCAGAACCUUACCUGGGCUAGAAAAUGCAAGAAUCCUGGUGAAAACUGGGAGUGCCUUUCGGGGAACUUGUAGUUAGGUGCUGCAUGGCUGUCGU
rnacentral:rRNA from 1 species